rnacentral:piRNA from 1 species
UGAAAGCCAAUAGUCAAGAGUGAGUGA